CCCUUAGAUGUUCUGGGCCGCACGCGCGCUACACUGAUGCAUUCAACGAGUUUCUUCCUGGUCCGAGAGGAAUGGGUAACCUUUUGAAAGUGCAUCGUGAUAGGGAUAGACUAUUGCAAUUAUUGGUCUUCAACGAGGAAUUCCUAGUAGACGUAGUUCAUCAGACUGCAUCGAUUACGUCCCUGCCCUUUGUACACACCGCCCGUCGCUCCUACCGAUUGAAUGCUCAGGUGAGCCAUUCGGACUUUCAUCAUGCUGGUUUCAGUUUUGAUGAAGGAAAGUCUUGCGAACCUUAUCAUUUAGAGGAAGGAGAAGUCGUAACA
rnacentral:rRNA from 1 species